UGGAUCCAGACUUUGAUUAUGGCUCAGGAUAAACGCUGGCGGCGCACAUAAGACAUGCAAGUCGAACGAACUUAAUCUUAAUAUUUAUAUUGAGAAGCGGUUAGUGGCGGACUGGUGAGUAACGCGUAAGCAAUCUGCCUAUUAGAGGGGAAUAACAGUGAGAAAUCAUUGCUAAUACCGCAUAUGCCAUAAGAACCACAUGGUUCCAGUGGGAAAGGAGCAAUCCGCUAAUAGAUGAGCUUGCGUCUGAUUGGCUAGUUGGUGUGGUAAUGGCACACCAAGGCAACGAUCAGUAGCCGGACUGAGAGGUUGAACGGCCACAUUGGGACUGAGACACGGCCCAGACUCCUACGGGAGGCAGCAGUCGGGAAUAUUGCGCAAUGGAGGAAACUCUGACGCAGUGACGCCGCGUAUAGGAAGAAGGUUUUCGGAUUGUAAACUAUUGUCGUUAGGGAAGAUAAAAGACAGUACCUAAGGAGGAAGCUCCGGCUAACUACGUGCCAGCAGCCGCGGUAAUACGUAGGGAGCAAGCGUUAUCCGGAUUUAUUGGGUGUAAAGGGUGCGUAGACGGGAAAUUAAGUUAGUUGUGAAAUCCCUCGGCUCAACUGAGGAACUGCAACUAAAACUGGUUUUCUUGAGUGCAGGAGAGGUAAGUGGAAUUCCUAGUGUAGCGGUGAAAUGCGUAGAUAUUAGGAGGAACACCAGUGGCGAAGGCAACUUACUGGACUGUAACUGACGUUGAGGCACGAAAGUGUGGGGAGCAAACAGGAUUAGAUACCCUGGUAGUCCACACCGUAAACGAUGGAUACUAGGUGUAGGGUGUAUUAAACAUUCUGUGCCGUCGCAAACGCAGUAAGUAUCCCACCUGGGGAGUACGGCCGCAAGGUUGCAACUCAAAGGAAUUGACGGA
rnacentral:rRNA from 1 species